rnacentral:rRNA from 1 species
CCUACGGGGGGCAGCAGUGAGGAAUAUUGGUCAAUGGUCGGGAGCCUGAACCAGCCAAGCCGCGUGAAGGAUGACUGUACUGAGGAUCGUAAACCUCUUUUAUCAGGGAACAAAGUCAGGGACGUGUCCCCGGUUGUAUGUACCUUAUGAAAAAGCAUCGGCUAACUCCGUGCCAGCAGCCGCGGUAAUACGGAGGAUGCGAGCGUUAUCCGGAUUUAUUGGGUUUAAAGGGAGCGGAGGUGGGCUGUUAAGUCAGCUGUCAAAGCUUGGGGCUCAACCGGAGAAUUGCAGUUGAUACGGGCAGUCUUGAGUAGGGUUGAAGUAGGCGGAAUGCGUGGUGUAGCGGUGAAAUGCAUAGAUAUCGCGAAGAACUCCGAUUGCGAAGGCAGCAUGC